GCGCUAGGAGCGCAAGCGUUGUCCGGAAUUAUUGGGCGUAAAGAGCUCGUAGGCGGUCUGUUGCGUCCGCUGUGAAAACCCGGGGCUUAACCCUGGGCUGGCAGUGGAUACGGACAGACUAGAGGUAGGUAGGGGAGAAUGGAAUUCCCGGUGUAGCGGUGAAAUGCGCAGAUAUCGGGAGGAACACCGGUGGCGAAGGCGGUUCUCUGGGCCUUACCUGACGCUGAGAGCGAAAGCGUGGGGAGCGAACAGG
rnacentral:rRNA from 1 species